GGCGCANGGGNGCGUAACGCGUGGGUGAUCUGCCUUUGAGACAGGGAUAACACUGCGAAAGCGGUGCUAAUACCUGAUACGUUCACGGUUUUCAAAGCUGUGGAUAAAGGUGGCCUCUGACAUAAGCUAUCGCUUGAAGAUGAGCCCGCGUACCAUUAGCUUGUUGGUAGGGUAAUGGCCUACCAAGGCGAUGAUGGUUAGCUGGCCUGAGAGGGUGGCCAGCCACACUGGAACUGANACACGGUCCAGACUCCUACGGGAGGCAGCAGUGGGGGAUAUUGCGCAAUGGGGGAAACCCUGACGCAGCGACGCCGUGUGAGUGAUGAAGGCCUUCGGGUCGUAAAGCUCUGUCAGAUGGGAAGAAUAAGGGUUGGGAAAAUAUCUCUGCCCGAUGACGGUACCAUCAGAGGAAGCACCGGCUAACUCCGUGCCAGCAGCCGCGGUAAUACGGAGGGUGCAAGCGUUGUUCGGAAUUACUGGGCGUA
rnacentral:rRNA from 1 species